rnacentral:rRNA from 1 species
UACGGAGGGUGCUAGCGUUGUUCGGAAUCACUGGGCGUAAAGGGCGUGUAGGCGGUCUGUUAAGUCUGAUGUGAAAUCCCCUCGCUCAACGAGGGAACUGCGUCGGAUACUGGCAGACUCGAGUACCGGAGAGGAAGGUGGAAUUCCCGGUGUAGCGGUGAAAUGCGCAGAUAUCAGGAGGAACACCGGUGGCGAAGGCGGUGGUCUGGGCCGGAACUGACGCUGAGGAGCGAAAGCGUGGGGAGCAAACAGG